rnacentral:rRNA from 1 species
AGUCGAUUCGAUUUACCUUCGGGUAAUGAGGAUGGCGGACGGGUGAGUAACGCGUAAGGAACUUGCCUCUUGGACUGGGACAACUGUUGGAAACGACAGCUAAUACCGGAUAUUAUGAGAUUCUCGCAUGAGAAACUUAUGAAAGCUAUAUGCGCCAAGAGAGAGCCUUGCGUUCCAUUAGCUAGUUGGUGGGGUAAUGGCCCACCGAGGCGACGAUGGAUAGCCGGCCUGAGAGGGUGAACGGCCACAAGGGGACUGAGACACGGCCCUUACUCCUACGGGAGGCAGCAGUGGGGAAUAUUGGACAAUGGGCCACAAGCCUGAUCCAGCAAUUCUGUGUGCACGAUGAAGGUCUUCGGAUUGUAAAGUGCUUUCAGUUGGGAAGAAGAAAGUGACGGUACCAACAGAAGAAGCGACGGCUAAAUACGUGCCAGCAGCCGCGGUAAUACGUAUGUCGCAAGCGUUAUCCGGAUUUAUUGGGCGUAAAGCGCGUCUAGGCGGAAAAAUAAGUCUGAUGUUAAAAUGCGGGGCUCAACUCCGUAUUGCGUUGGAAACUGUUUUUCUAGAGUACUGGAGAGGUGGGCGGAACUACAGUGUAGAGGUGAAAUUCGUAGAUAUUUGUAGGAAUGCGAUGGAAAGUCAGCUCACUGGACAGAUACUGACGCUGAAGCGCGAAAGCGUGGGGAGCAAAC